AACGAACGCUGGCGGCAUGCCUAACACAUGCAAGUCGAACGAGACCUUCGGGUCUAGUGGCGCACGGGUGCGUAACGCGUGGGAAUCUACCCUUGGGUCCGGAAUAACAGUUAGAAAUGACUGCUAAUACCGGAUGAUGACGUAAGUCCAAAGAUUUAUCGCCCCAGGAUGAGCCCGCGUGAGAUUAGCUUGUUGGUGGGGUAAUGGCCUACCAAGGCGACGAUCUUUAGCUGGUCUGAGAGGAUGAUCAGCCACACUGGGACUGAGACACGGCCCAGACUCCUACGGGAGCAAGCGGUGGGGAAUAUUGGACAAUGGGCGAACGCCUGAUCCAGCAAUGCCGCGUGAGUGAUGAAGGCCUUAGGGGUGUAAAUCUCUUUUACCAGGGAUGAUAAUGACAGUACCUGGAGAAUAAGCUCCGGCUAACUCCGUGCCAGCAGCCGCCGUAA
rnacentral:rRNA from 1 species